rnacentral:rRNA from 1 species
GUGGGGAAUCUUGCGCAAUGGGCGAAAGCCUGACGCAGCAACGCCGCGUGCGGGAUGACGGCCCUUCGGGUUGUAAACCGCUUUCAGCAGGGACGAAAAUGACGGUACCUGCAGAAGAAGCCCCGGCUAACUACGUGCCAGCAGCCGCGGUAAUACGUAGGGGGCAAGCGUUGUCCGGAUUUAUUGGGCGUAAAGAGCUCGUAGGCGGUUCAGCAAGUCGGAUGUGAAAAAUCUGGGCUCAACCCAGUGAAGCACCCGAUACUGCUGUGACUAGAGUCCGGUAGGGGAGUGUGGAAUUCCUGGUGUAGCGGUGAAAUGCGCAGAUAUCAGGAGGAACACCAACGGCGAAGGCAGCACUCUGGGCCGGUACUGACGCUGAGGAGCGAAAGCGUGGGGAGCGAACAGGAUUAGAUACCCUAGUAGUCC